rnacentral:rRNA from 1 species
CGAGAGUUUGAUCCUGGCUCAGAAUCAACGCUGGCGGCGUGCCUCAGACAUGCAAGUCGAACGAUUAAACUUUCCUUCGGGAAAGAUAUAAAGUGGCGCACGGGUGAGUAACACGUAAGUAAUCUACCUUCGGAUGGGGAAUAACAGUCGGAAACGACUGCUAAUACCGCAUAAUGCAGCGGCACCUAAUGGUGACAGUUGUUAAAGUAUUUAUACGUCUGAAGAGGAGCUUGCGGCAGAUUAGCUAGUUGGUAAGGUAAUGGCUUACCAAGGCGACGAUCUAUAGCCGACCUGAGAGGGUGGUCGGUCACACUGACACUGAAUAACGGGUCAGACUCCUACGGGAGGCAGCAGUCGGGAAUUUUGGGCAAUGGGCGAAAGCCUGACCCAGCAACGCCGCGUGAAGGAUGAAGUCUUUCGGGAUGUAAACUUCGUAAAAAUAGGAAGAAUAAAUGACGGUACUAUUUGUAAGGUCCGGCUAACUACGUGCCAGCAGCCGCGGUAAUACGUAGGGACCAAGCGUUGUUCGGAUUUACUGGGCGUAAAGGGCGCGUAGGCGGCGUAACAAGUCACUUGUGAAAUCUCCGGGCUUAACUCGGAACGGUCAAGUGAUACUG